GCAUGCAGCUGAAGACUGGCAGCUAAGUCAGGAACCAGGAAAUCUGCAGGAAGUGAAGGUGCCAAGAAGCUACACGGGAGAUCAGAAAGAGCAAGAGAGAAGAGAACCACCACAGCACUGCUCCACCAUCCGAGGAGCUUUCUCAGACGCCACGAGGCUUCCAUGCAGUACCAGGGUUUGAACCUGGGUCCUCAGAACUAGUAAGGCAUGUGCUCUACCAGGUACUGAUGGAACUGGAGUUCAGAGCCCUCUGGCCAUCUUCCCUGCUGGGAGUUUGAACCAAGAUUCAGAGAAUUCUUUAGUCUCUUUCUAGCACCAUAAAAGUUUUUCUCGAAGUGAGAAACCAUUUAAAAUUACCUUUGUAGCAUGAGUCAACAUGAUUGAUAAAUGCAGUCAAAAUGAAUUUCAGCUGCUUAAUUGAAGAGACUAUGGAAACAAAUACAAAGAAAUUGUUCCCCAGUUGAAGUCAACCGGAGUCAUCAGUGAUCUAGUCUUUUCACUAGUUCUAAUUCUACCUCUUUUACUUCAUAUAUUUACCUCCAAUAAUGACACUACAAAAGGCCUCAAGGCAUUUGAAGUUGUCUCAAGUUGUCGAGGUAAUCAGAAACACUGCACAAACAGACUUCAUUACCACUUCUUUGACAAAGGUUUAUCCAGUUGAAAAUUAUUUCAUGUUCAGCAUAAAAAAUAACGGUUUAAGUACAUCAUAGGGAAUCUGUAGGAUAAAAUACUACCAUUGAAAUACUCCAUUAAUGAAAUUGCUACCAAAUAACGAAAAAGUACAAUACAUCUAAAUGAGCUAAUAUAUGUAAUUAUGGGUGGGGAGAUAGAAAAAGGGUUAUGAAAAAAAAGCUUUCAAUGACCGAGGUUCAAUGUCUCAGGUUCAAUCCCCAACACCAACAAAAGUUAGAACUGAGUGUAUAAUGGGUAAAAUAAUAGAAAAAAAAAAUCAAAAGAUAAAAUUCUGUGUAGAAGUUCAAAUGUAUAGCACGUGUCCAUGUUUUUCAAGAAUGGAGU